rnacentral:rRNA from 2 species
CAUUUGCCUUUUGUGAUACGCUUUCAAAGAGUCAGGUUGUUUGGGAAUGCAGCCUAAAUUGGGUGGUAAAUCUCACCUAAAGCUAAAUAUUGGCGAGAAACCGAUAGCGAACAAGUACCGUGAGGGAAAGAUGAAAAGAACUUUGAAAAGAGAGUUAAACAGUAUGUGAAAUUGUUAAAAGGGAACCGUUUGGAGCCAGACUGGCUUGUCUGUAAUCAAUCUAGGCUUCGGCCUGGAUGCACUUGCAGGCUAUGCCUGCCAACGACAAUUUGACUUGAGGGAAAAAACUAAGGGAAAUGUGGCCCACUUGUGGGUGUUAUAGUCCCUUAGAAAAUACCUUGGGUUGGAUUGAGGAACGCAGCGAAUGCUUUUUGGCGAGUUUUCCAGGAAGGUUUUCUGAGGUACUACGGUAUCAAGGUUGAUCU